rnacentral:rRNA from 1 species
CAGUAGUCACGUAGUUUGACUCCUGGCUCAGAACGACGCUGGCGGCAUGCCUAACACAUGCAAGUCGAACGAGACCUUCGGGUCUAGUGGCGNACGGGUGCGUAACGCGUGGGAAUCUGCCCUUAGGUUCGGAAUAACUUCGGGAAACUGAAGCUAAUACCGGAUGAUGACGUAAGUCCAAAGAUUUAUCGCCUAAGGAUGAGCCCGCGUUGGAUUAGCUAGUUGGUAAGGUAACGGCUUACCAAGGCUACGAUGGGUAGGGGUCCUGAGAGGGAGAUCCCCCACACUGGUACUGAGACACGGCCCAGACUCCUACGGGAGGCAGCAGUGGGGAAUAUUGGACAAUGGGCGAAAGCCUGAUCCAGCAAUGCCGCGUGAGUGAUGAAGGCCUUAGGGUUGUAAAGCUCUUUUACCCGGGAUGAUAAUGACAGUACCGGGAGAAUAAGCUCCGGCUAACUCCGUG